GACGAACGCUGGCGGCGUGCUUAACACAUGCAAGUCGAACGAUGAAGCCCAGCUUGCUGGGUGGAAGAGUGGCGAACGGGUGAGUAACACGUGAGUAACCUGCCCUGAACUCUGGGAUAAGCACUGGAAACGGUGUCUAAUACUGGAUACGACCUAUCACCGCAUGGUGUGUGGGUGGAAAGAUUUAUCGGUUCUGGAUGGACUCGCGGCCUAUCAGCUAGAUGGUGAGGUAAUGGCUCACCAUGGCGACGACGGGUAGCCGGCCUGAGAGGGUGACCGGCCACACUGGGACUGAGACACGGCCCAGACUCCUACGGGAGGCAGCAGUGGGGAAUAUUGCACAAUGGUCGCAAGCCUGAUGCAGCAACGCCGCGUGAGGGAUGACGGCCUUCGGGUUGUAAACCUCUUUUAGUAGGGAAGAAGCGAAAGUGACGGUACCUGCAGAAAAAGCACCGGCUAACUACGUG
rnacentral:rRNA from 1 species